rnacentral:lncRNA from 1 species
GAAUUCUUAACUGGGAAAGCUUGAGAAAGGCUCAGGGCCAUCGUCUUAACUCCCACUAAGGCUGCCUUUUCAGAGCCAAUUUAGGUCACUGCUUCCAUUUGGGGCACAGAGACAGCUGGCUUUUACCACUCUUCCAGGCUCCCAAUUUCCAGACUCUCAGUCAACUUAGAUUGCAGGCAGCAGGGAGAGGAAUCUGCUGAAAGCAGCAAGGAGCAAUCAGUACUCACCAAUCCUCAAGUUCUCCUAGAGUUACAGGCUCAGAGAGCAUGUGAUAUUCCUGUCAAGGUAUCAAUCUCAGAAGACAGUUUUUACAAAAUCUUCUGCCAGAGCAUCACAAGGGUCACCAGCUUUCCAGUCUGCAUAUCUGUGUUUGCUCCGCCUGACUAUGAAGCCAAUGCCACAUAUCCUCUUGAUAUGCUCAUCACUUCAUGUACCUUCCUCCUUGCUCCUGGCUGAGGCCUCCCUGAUGUGGCUUUGGGAUGGACAGUGCCAGACUCACCUGGAACCAGAAACCAGAAGUGGUUGGGCCAGGGGUAGGGGUCUGUAUCCCUCUUCCCUCUGGCCCAGAAUGAAUCAACGCCCCCCCCCCCCCCCGCACACACACACACACCCUCUCGGGCUGUUGAUUUCUAUCAGAGGACCUGAGGGGGUCUGUGCCUCAUGCUGCUUGUCGACGGGCAGGCACGGAGUCUAAGUCCACCUAUGUUCUCCUCAGAGAACCUCACACUUUCAUCUCAGGGUCUUCUUUCCAUCCUCCAUCUCCUCCCUUUUUAGGGUAACGGUCUUUCUCCCACCCCUUCCUGUCCUUCUGGGGGACCCGAAUGAGGAAGUUCCACACCAAAUUUUCAGUCACUCCGGGCUGAGCACUUUCUGCACCUCACUUGAUACUGGACUCAGGGAGCAGUGGGGGAGGCAUUCAAGCUUCCUUGCUCCUCACCCAAGGCCAGGGUCCUCCCCUCCCCUGGCCCCAGGUGGGCCCCACCUGAUGCUGUGGGAGGCUCAGGCUGCAGCCUGAGUGCCCUCCAUGAAGCUAGCUGGAGGGGCCUGUCCCUGGGCACCUGGUCAAUAAUUAACACUGAGCAAACUCAGGCCGGCUGGGCCUCCCAGCAGGGUCAGGACCAGACAAAGGCUCUGCUGUCUCCUUAAGCUGCCAUCUUGGUGGGGGGUUACUGGCCGGCCAGUCACCCCAGGGUGGCAAACAACCCCGCCUCCAGCAGGGCGCUGGAGUGGCUGCUGCUCAGCGAGGAAUUUUCGGGGAGAUAGGCCCUGGAGGAGGCCGAUGAGUGGGGUUUGGCCACAUGCCUGUUUCUAAGCCUCGGCUUCAUGUUUGUGAGCAUAUUCUUCUGCAGCUGUUUGACAUGGGCUAAUGCGGGGUGGGUGACCUGCCUCUGAGAGCAGUUCUCAGCUCCUCCUGCUUCCUCCCCAUCCCCCACCUACCCUUCCUUCCUUCCUUAGCAAAUGUGUUGAGUGUCUUCUGUGUGCUAGGCCCUUCCUUAGUGUCCCCCCAUCUUUCCCCAUCCCCCUAAAACUUUCACUCCUUCUUGAUGUCUUUGCUUGAGCUUUUAAAAUCUUGAAACCCGUCUACCCUCUCCAUCUGAAUCUCCUUCCUCCUCCGAGAAAUCCUCCUUGAGUCCAUCCUGAUCACAUCCUCCUGGUUCCUCCGACGCUGACACUCCUGUCACUUUUUAUCUCAUCCUGCCCUUGUGCUGCCUCCCCAGCUGCACCGUAAGCUCCUUGGAGGCUGGGAGCCAUGACUUCCCUCCUCCCCCCCACCAUGGGCAAUAAGGAACGUUGUUAGGUUUAUCAGCAAAUGCCACCCUCAGCCACAAAUCAAGCAAGAAGUUACUUUCUUGCAGAACAACAACUCAGGAGACAACUUCUACAUCAGUCAGAAAAUUCCAGAUACAUGGCAGAGUUCCCAAAUCGGCCUUGCCAGCCCAGACCUCCCUCCAGCUGGCUGCCCUAGAUGUCUGAGAACUCUUUAUCACAUCCCCUGCCUCCCCUACUCCCAGCUCAGCCAUUUUGGGAGCAGCUGAGGACGUUUCUGGCUGACCUUUCUGGCUGCCCACCUGAUCCAGCCUUAAGCGCAGCCCGCACCGCCUCCUGGCCCUUUCCUCCCUGUGGGGUCCCACGCUCACUGCUGGGAGCCAUGGGCAUCCUUUCCUGAGCAGAGACAGAGCAGCUGCCAGGGACUUCCUCUUCUUGCCUGGCUCUUCUUACCCUCCUUUCUCGGAUAUCCUCUCAUUUCUCCCCUCUGUUCACACUCCCUCCCUCCCAGCCUGCUCAGCACUAACCCACCUGUCCCUGCCCAGGUGCACUUUGAAAGAAGAGUUCACAUGUAACACACAGACUUGUGCUGCCUCUGCUACACUGACCCCCUAAAAGUUCAAGGUGAACCAGAAGUGAUUAGAGACAGGGCACCCCACCCUUAGGAAGACCGAGGGUGACAAUUUUUUUUUUAAGGCUGAAACAGAACCAGAUAUAGGGACCCACAGCACCCCCACUCUCCCCCAGUUGAGGAAAGGAAAUGAGUGACAGCUUGGGGACUGGCGGUGUGCAAGGUGGCGGUGUGCAGGGGAGGGGGCACCUCUUGCUACCAGGGCGUCCGUCUUGAAAGUCUGCCGCUCUGUUGUCUCACGGUGUUCUCACUCUUAUCAAACCAACCACACCAACUUAGAGUCUAAACACCAUGGCAGCUAUCCUUAAGGAAUCCAGGAUCGGGGGAGUUGCAGGCUGGGCGGCUGUGGGUCCCAGGGGUGCAGAUGGCUUCUGGGGGCCAGCCAACACACACACCUGUUCACCCUGCUCUUCUCCCUGGAGGCCCUUGUGCCCCUAAGACCCCACCCUGGGGACUCUGGGGUCCCUUUGGAGGUUUCCCUGGAGGACUCCUUUUUCCCUCCUCUGCUCCUUCAGAGGGUCCUUCUGCCAUGGGUAUCCUUGCUGCCACAUCCCACUGUCCUCCUGGGUCCACCCCAACUCUAUGCACCGCCUAGGCCGGCUCUGCCAUCCCCGGCGCCAGCUGGCACGGGUCUGUCCCCCUGAUGUGGGGGAGGAGACACCCACCCUUUGUGAGAGGGCACUGCCCUGCCCCAAGGACAGGAAAGGAAGAAGUGGGGAGAGAAGGGGCUCCUCAGCUUUUCCUCCUUGACCGAAGGCCUAAGAUGAGGAGAUACAAGGCAAGUUCACCAGCGAGCGGUGUCUCACCGUACUGAAGCUGUUGUAAUUUAUUUUGUCAUUCAUCACACAAGGCAGACGCGAUCUCCUCCCUGCCCCUCCUGCCACUAGCAAUUGCUCCUGGCACCCUCCUGGUGACCCCCUCCCCUAGCUGGGGACAUUGAGCCCCUCCUGAGAGCAUAAGAUGUGGGCAAGCCCCUGGGAGCUGCUCAGGGAAGACCCCCACGGGGACAUUCCCAUUGCCAAACGCACGCCCCCUGGACUGGGCCUGGAGUUCCUUCUGCUGUGAUGAUGCCACAGAGUGAACCAGCUCCCCAGACCCUCGCCCUGGACCGCUGCUGAAAGCAGGAAUGGAGGGGUGGAGGAGGACAGCCAGCCCAGCAGGGACAGAGGGGAGAGGCAGGAAGAGCUGGGGACGAGGCCAGCCAGUGGGGAGGAGUGAAUGGAGCAGGAAGGCACAGGUGAGAAGCAGGCCUUCUGGGAGGCAGGACUGGGGUGCCCCCGGAACAGCUCCUCUCCUACUCCCAGGCAGGGUUUCCAGGCAGCUCACUCAGGCGCCUCAACGCCAAUCCCAGCACGAUGGUGCCACCUGCUGUGGGGAGGGAGCAGCACAGCUUGCUCCUUAGAGGGGUUUGAGAAUUUGGGGUAACUCCGAUCUCUGGGAUCAUAGCCUCUGUUCUGGUUUAUAGGACAUAGACUUCAGUAUGGGGUCAUCUCUCACUCUGGGCAGCCAGUGUUCUAGACAGCCAGAUUCUCUCUUUCUGUCCACUUUUCAGGUCCCUACACUCAAGCCUACCAGAGGGGUGUGGAACCCUGCCCAGGUCUCUCAUCUUUGGCUGGACCUCUCCCAGCUCACUGCCCCCAGCCCAGCACCUCCUUUCCUCAGGUUGCCCUAUGGCGACAACCCCCAAGUGGCCUCCCUACCCCUGCCAGGUCUGCACCACCACUUCCCAACUCACAGGCCUACAUCAGGUCCUCCCCACCUUCCAGGUACCAGACCUCCUUCUGCAAGGAGGAGCUACUUGGAGCAGGACAAGGGGGCAGGGGUUCUUCUGACUGAUCCCAGGAAGACUUCCUGCUGCCUGGCUGGACUGCUCCCUCUGUCCUCAGAAAGCCCAUAUUUUGUCACUUGGACCUCAGACAUCAUGUUUUGUGGUAGGGAUGUUUCAUCCACCCUGUAAUACCAUAACCUUUUUGAGGGCAGGGACCACACGGGAAAGCAUGACUUCCAAGGCUAGGUCAUCAUAAAAGACAUUGGUCUUUCAG